UUUAUGGUAUUUUUUAUUGUUUUUUUUUUUUUAGUGAAUGUUUGUGGUUUAAACAAAAAAUAACGAACAAAUUAAGCUAAAAUUUCACUAUCAAUGUCAUUUCCGCGUCCGCGGAACACGUUUUACACUCUAGUGGGAAGAUAACGCUUUCUGUGACGUAUGGCGGCAGACGGGAAGAGAGCGACUAACUGUGCGGCAGAGAGAGAGCGCGAACGCGCGUCCCGAAGAGAGUGAGAGUGUAACGCCGUGAAUAAAUGCAAGGCAAGCAAAAAAGUAGAAGCUCUGGCGACUGGUGAAUGCGCUACGGCAGGUGGAGUGGACAGAGGUUCUUUAAUGAGGCGUCGAUGCAGGUAUCUUUUAUAAAAAUCCAUGGAUAAACGGCUAAGAAUGGGUUUUUUCUUUUGCUCCAGGCGUUCGUUGCCUUGGCUAUCAUGGGUCCGGAGGUCCGUCACAGACAGGAGGCACAUUACGCUUGAGUGGCUUCCAGGGUGGAGCUCUUGCUGCACCUCAAGAACACCUCAAGACCUCUUCUAGUUCACUUUCUUUGGGUUAUUCUACCCCAGCAAUUGUGAGAGCAAUUGUGCGCACUUUUUUCACCCAGCUUGUCCUGCGCAUUUUAAUGUUCUUUUUUCUUUAGGUUUCCCCCUUUUUUUUUUGAUAAAUAUUGCUGAAAAAGAGUUGAAAACAUGCUGGGCACGUGCUGAUUGAUGUAAAAUGCGUAAUGAGCGCGGUUAGGUUUAUGGGCCAAAGGAAGGGAAAAAACCAACGAAGAAAGAAAUGAAUGAAGGAAUAAAAAGGUCUUCGAAUAGAUAACGACUGAAAGAGGUAAAGUUUUCUAAUUAUAAUAUACAUGGCAGUUAGCCGAGUGGGUCGAUGGGUGGAGGCAUCAGCCAUUUUUAUCUUUUUCCUUUCUUUAGAUUUAAUUUCUUUGUUCAAGUUCGAGGCAAAACGGCAAUUAUGAAAAAAUAAUCGCUGUGGGGAGUUCUGGAUAUGAUUUGUGUGGGUGCUAAUAAAAGGUAAAGAAAUUGUUGACCUCAAGGCAUCGAUAUAUGUGGAAUAGGUUUUGAUUUGGGAAUGGCUUUGUUAUAUGUUAAGGGUUAGCAUGUGUUUGUAGGAGGCUGGAUAAUAUUGUAGAUAUAGGAGGAGUAAUCCAGCAAGCAGAAUGAAAUGUUUGUGGGAGGAUGGAUUGCUUUUGUAAAUGUAGUUUUCCAACAAUGAACCGUGCGCAAGCCCGCUCUCAGGAGCUGUCAGAUAGAGCUAACAGUGAGCUGUAAGCUGGAGCCGCCAGAGGCUGUUAUAGAAGAGCGCUAACAGAGGGAUGUAAACGGGAGCGGCCAGAGGCUGUUAAAGAAGAGCGCUAACAGUGAGCUGUAACCGGGAGACCCACAGGCUGUUAAUUGAGAUCGGUAACAGACUGUUAACCUGGUCUGUUGGACAGCUCUGUUACGCUGUUAUUGCUUCCGACCUGAACAAAAUCCAAUACAAAUAAUAUAUCCCCAUACGCUUGGAGUAUCGGAUAUAAAAAGAAUGUACAUAUGCCAAACAUCAAUUCUAUUAAAUUG
rnacentral:misc_RNA from 1 species